UCUUCAUCCUCUUCUCCCUCCUUUUCCUCCUCAUCAUCAUCAUUUAACCGUUUCCAAGAUGAAAGCUUAGAACCCAAAUGAUGGCCCUUUUCAUCUUCAAUAAACUCUCCAGGGGAUUUAUCUUCUUCCACUCGAAGACUUUCAUCUUCCACAUUUUGAAUCAGAGAAUAAUUCUCAACAGCCUCCCCAUUAGUCAAGAUCUCUCUAAUCCCUUGUUUCUCCUCGUAAAUUUCCCCGUUCUUCUCAUAUUCCAAAUCAUCAAAUUCUCUCUGCACUUCUCCAAUCACUUUUUUCUUAAAUUUAAUAUCCUGAGAACGCUCAUCAAUCAGUGGCACAUAAUCAUCUAAACCAACAUCUCCCUCAAUCUUACUGACCCUAUUCUUCUCCCAAUUCUCUUCUCGAAUGGCUUCCUUUUCUGUAUCCUUUCUCUUCCCCUCAAAAUUCUCUAUAAAAAAGCUCCCAUCUUUCUCAACAACAACAGUGGCAUCCCCUAGAACCCCUGCUUUCAAAGAAGAAAUCUCAUGGGAAACUUCUUCUUCUUUCUCUUUUUCAAUUUCAGGGAUAUUUGGUUCCCCAAAACUCAAUAGGGUACCAAGCAAAACAGCAGUACAAACCAAAACAGGGGAUGCAGAGACUAAAAGGGAAAACAAAAAGGGAAAUGAUCUGUACAGGUAUAUCAAGAAACACACCAACCCCACAAGAAAUGGAUGUUUACAAACUGAUUUAUAAGAUGUCCUAAUUGAAACGAUAAAAAAUCUCCUGAUUUGAACUCUAAUUCUCAUUACAUCAAGACCCAUUCUCUUUCUUUCUAUUUCUCUGUUUCCAAUCCCAAUCUCAAAUUUCCAAUCAAAGGAAAUACAGAAAAUCGGUUGAUGAUUAUAUUCAAUACCAGAUUGAAACAGAGAUCAAAGUGUUAAAAAGAGAAGGAAAUGGAAUCCUUUCCUUUGCUUUUCUCCCUCUUUUCUGUUCCUUG
rnacentral:misc_RNA from 1 species